rnacentral:lncRNA from 1 species
GAGGGAGGGGCCGCAGCCCCCCCCCAAAAUACAGAAUUCGGCGCCCCCUUUUUGGGGGGACCCCAAAAAUCCAAAUCCCCCCUCUCUGUCGGGUGAGAGGAGGAAAAUUCCCGAAGGAAUUCCCGAGGGAAUUCCCGGGAUCGGGGGAAUCCUGGGAAAACCCCGGGGGAGGGAGCAGGGCCGGGUCUGUCCCUUUAAAUUCGGAAUUUUAUAUUUUUUUAUCCAUUAAUUUUAAUUUUUUUUAUUUAAUUAAUAAUAAUAAAUAAAAACCUCGAGGCUUUAAAAAAAAAAAAUAAACCCCAAAAAAACCCGCCAGGAAUCAAAGGAGGAAGGGAAAAAAAUGAUUUAAAAAUUAAUGAGUGAGCCCCAGGAAUUAAUUAAGAAUUAAUUAAAACUUAAUUAAGCCGAGGAGGAAAAUUGGGGACGUCACCCAUGGGACCCCCAUUUUUGGGACCAUCCCCAUUUUGGGGACCUUCUCCUUUUUGGGGACCCCCUUCAUGGGACCCUUCAUUUUGGGGACCAUCCCCACCUUGGUGACCCCAAUUUUGGGGACCCCCCCCCAUUUUGGGGACCAUCCCCACCUUGGUGACCCCCCCAUUUUGGGGACCUUCAAUGGGAUCUCCCAAUUUGGGGAUCUUCAAUGGACUCCCCCAUUUUGGGGACCUUCAAUGGGAUCUCCCAAUUUGGGGAUCUUCAAUGGACCCCCCCAUUUUGGGGACUUUUAAUGGGACCCCCCCAUUUUGGGGACCCCCACUCUAAUUUGGGGACCCCCCCACUUUGGGGACCCCCCAGUUUGGGGACAUCACCCAUGGGACCCCCAUUUUGGGAACCGUCCUCAAUUUGGGGGCCCCCUCAUGGGACCCUCCAUUUUGGGGACCUUCUCCACUUAGGGGACCCCCACUCCAUUUUGGGGACCCUUUAGGCCUUGGGGACCCCCCCUCAUUUUGGGGAC